rnacentral:rRNA from 1 species
GUAAGAAUUUUCUGCAAUGCGCGAAAGCGUGACAGAGUGAAUCAGAGUGUCUGUCAAUGACAGACUUUUGCCAAAUGUAAAAAAUUUGGCGAAUAAGGACUGGGCAAGACUAGUGCCAGCCGCCGCGGUAAUACUAGCUGUCCAAGUCGCAGCCAUUUUUAUUAGGUCUAAAACAUCCGUAGCUUGUUUGAUAAGUUUUCUGUGAAAUCCGGCAUCUCAAGUGUUGGGCGAGCAAAAAGUACUAUUAAGCUAGAGAUUGGUAGACGUGAUGAGUACAAUCGAGGUAGCGGUAAAAUGUUCUAAUCUCGGUUGGACUAACAAGAGCGAAGGCACAUCACGAGAACAGUUCUGACAGUAAGGGAUGAAGGCCAGGGGCGCAAAACGGAUUAGAUACCCCAGUAGUCCCUGAGCGGGCUGGCAAGGCGCAU